ACACACACACACACACACACGCACGCACCCCCGCGCGCACACGCCCGCCCGCUCGCGCUGCCUCUGCGCCUCCAUCCCGGCUCGCUCAUUAUCUCGCCCUCUCGCUUCCCCUGCGGUCUCUCGCUCUGCGCGCACACACCACACACACGCACACGCACACACACGCGCGCACACACGCAGCCGGCACAGGCGGCGGCGGCGGCUGCCCAAGUCAGGACGAACCUAUCUAGGUACCGUCUUGAGAAGGCGGCAGCGGCGGCGGCGGCGGCGGCGGCGGCAGCCCGAGCAUCCCUCCUCUCCCGGAGAGGGAGCACCGCCGAGAGUUUCCGUUCCCUUUGCCAUUCCCUUCCCCCUCCUUUUCUUUUAUUUUCGAGAGAAUUUCUUCUUGGCUUAUUGGUUUAAUUUGAUUUUUAAAAUUUUGGGUUGCUUUUGUGUAUGUGUGCUUUUUUUUUCUUUCCUCAUUUUAUUUGCAUCCAGAGCAUGGCGGGCUGCGGGCUGUCGGAAGACACCCUCUUCUCUUCCUUCUUUUACAACUACGGCUCCUCCUGGGAAACCCCUUCCAACCAGCUUUCCAGUCUCCAGGUUCUGUCGCGUUCCUCCCGUGCCCAAUCUGCCAUCGACACCUUCCCCCACCACCUCCCAGCCCAGCGGGAACCCGAGAAAGAGGCAGGAGCCGGCGCGUUACCCCGAACAACUCCAGGCAGAACCAGGGAACUCGAGCGCAACCUUCCCCAAGUCGCCGCGGGCGCCGCGCCCCUGUGCGCCCGGCGCCUACCCGCCUUCCAGUUGCGCCGAGGGGCUGCAGAGCCGCAAGCCCCCCGCGACGUGCUGUCCCCCCUCCACUCCCCUCGGGGCCCGAGCCGCCUCUUUCCCUAAAAUGGCUGCAAUCUCAAGUAGAGGCGUCCCCUGACCCGCGGAGGUGGGGGGGGUGGGGUGCAGAGUGGAGCCUCCGCUCCUCCUGACCCCGCGCCUCCCCUGGGGCACAGAAGCACCCCACAAACACACUUAACUUUGAUGACUGUGCAAUGCAGUCCGGCUGCAUCGUGCCCUAGACGCUCCACGCCGCCGGCCUGUAGGUGUGCGUGUCGGUGUGACUCGGGGGGCCCAGGGACGCUGGGGGUAGACGCCGGAAGGGGGGCGUGGAAGGAGAUGGAUGUCAGCGGGCCACUGGUAACCUGGAGAGACAGGCAUGUGCUCAGGGUCUAGGGGUGAAAAAGCUAUUCUGGGAGCUGGAGCGAGAAAUAGAGAGAGGAAAAAUGCCUUUUAAUUAAAUAACUGUUGUAGUCUGCUG
rnacentral:lncRNA from 1 species